AUUGAACGCUGGCGGCAGGCCUAACACAUGCAAGUCGAGCGGAGCGGCGGACGGGAGAGUAAUGCCUAGGAGUCUGCCUGGUAGAUGGAGAUAACGUACGGCAACGGGCGCUAAUAACGCAUACACGCCAAUGAACCUAGCUCGGAUUAGCUAGUUGGUGGGGUAGAGGCCUACCAAGGCGACGAUCCGUACCUGGUCUGAGAGGAUGCUCAGUCACACUGGAACUGAGACACGGUCCAGACUCCUACGGGAGGCAGCAGUGGGGAAGAUUGGACAAUGGGCGAAAGCCUGAUGCAGCCAUGCCGCGUGUGUGAAGAAGGUCUUCGGAUUGUAAAGCACUUUAAGUUGGGAGGCGUUACCAACAGAAUAAGCACCGGCUAACUUCGUGCCAGCAGCCGCGGUAAUUC
rnacentral:rRNA from 1 species